rnacentral:rRNA from 1 species
CUCGUGUCGUGAGAUGUUGGGUUAAGUCCCGCAACGAGCGCAACCCCUGCAUUCAGUUGCCAUCGGUGAGGCCGGGCACUCUGGAUGGACUGCCGGCGACAAGCCGGAGGAAGGUGGGGACGACGUCAAGUCAUCAUGGCCCUUAUGUCCAGGGCGACACACGUGCUACAAUGGCCGGCACAGCGGGAAGCGAAGGGGCGACUCUGAGCGGAUCCCUUAAAGCCGGUCCCAGUUCGGAUUGCAGUCUGCAACUCGACUGCAUGAAGUUGGAAUCGCUAGUAAUCGUGGGAUCAGCCAAGCCGCGGUGAAUACGUUCCCGGGCCUU